CCACACAAUUAGCUAUCUAUAGCUAGAGAUCUUUAUUCUCAAGCAAAUGACACGGUCUGUGAUGUUUGUGAGUUGUGAUUUUGUAACUCCUGAUAUUACUGAGAUGGACUCUGUAACCUGAAAUGCUCAUUUGAGUCUUUCAGCUCGCCAGCAACCCAAAAGCCACUGCAGAAACAAAUAUGUUUUGCAGAAGGUUGGUUUAUUCCCUGGAUAUUUACUUGCCGGUUUGGGUUGGGGUAUUUUUUUUUUAAUUUGUUUUGUUUAUUUCUUCUUUUAUCAGCUCCAGCUGAGACAGAAGAGGGUGGGAGGAGGGUUUUGUUCCUCUGGAGAUAACAGGAGGCUGUGUCUGUGCAGCCAUGGUGACAAGAUCCAGGGCGCUUUCUGGCUUCCAAGCAAUUUGCUCCCCACCCCUGGCUCCCAAGUAAAAGUGGGGCAGAGAGAGAGAGGAGCUUUUGUUUCUCAAGUGCUUCAGCUGUUGCUACUAAUUAAGCGAAGAGCCCUAGUGCCUUCCCACCUCCCAAGCUUAAGGAGGGUCUAGUUGGGGUGAAAGGAGAGUCAAGAGUGUGCUGCUGCUGCUUUUCUGUACCCCGCUCUCACUAUAUGGCUCUUUUCAUCCUUUCUCUGCCUUGCUGGGUGACCUGUGGCCAACUCCACGCCUCAGAUUCCCUGGCUGCAGCAGGAAAGAAAUGAGAGAGACCAAGCUCAGCGUGAGGCCAGAUGGAAACUACCACCCUGCUGUUCAAGACUUCCCUGGAUGUCAUUCCCUUCUCUCUCUGAAAUGCCAGUGCCGUCCCCGAGCUCUAACAGCGUUACUGAAACCUCCCCGGUGUUGCCAGAAUGUGCUGGAGGAGCCAGAUGAACUGUCAACAACUAGGUAUCAGGCAAAUGGCCUUUGCACAGGGCAGUUGCACUUUUUUGGACAAGGAGAGCUGGCUGCGUGGAGGGCAGAGUUAGUGGCUGCUGUCAGGGCUGCAGGGGAACUACGUGGCCUCUGCCCAGUCUUGCAACAGGGACCACACACUGUGCCAAAGCGUUGCAUGCACGUGGGAAGGACCGCAGGUACGAAAAGAACGUAGAGAUGUGGAGAGAGAAAAAUGAAUAGAGGGAGUAGGAAUGCCGCAGGCAUCCAACAGGCCGUGGAACUGAGGAGCUAGCCCUGGCUCGGUCCCGCAGGAUGCCCAGUCCCCAAGGACUGAGGUAGCAGCCAAGGCCGUGGCUGCUCCCCGGGGCCUCUCCUCCCAUUGAGCUCACUUGGGUGUCUUCAGCCCAGGAUCUCCCAGGGAGAAAUUUAGGGCCUCGCUCAGGAACAGAUGGUCUCCCUCUUGGGCCCCAUCUGCCAGGCAACACUGGAGCAGUUGCUCUCUGCAGUGCUGAGCAGAAUCUUGUUUACUUUCCCCUCGUGUCAGCAAGGUGAUGUGUAGGGAAACCAAGCCCUGCUGUUACCAGCCCGGAUUUCCAGGAGCAGCCAGGAACUGAAAGGUGCAAGAGCAUAACCCAAGAUGUACCUUUGUGAGGGCCAGGCAACGUGGCCACAGCCCAGAUCCAAGAUGGAGUCCAGCCAAGAAGAGGGCUGUAGUUGCAAGGGAGCAGGAUAUUGUUUGGGAAGCCAUCGAUCCACACGCAGGAUGAAAGCACAUGGGCUAAAGGAGAAAUUUGGAGUGAAGUUUCACAAGGGGCAUCCUGUGAAAUCAUCCUAGGAGCAGUAUGCACGUGAGCCUUGUCUGUGAUGAACUGCUUAGUGCCCAGACUGCUGAGAGACAUGUGGUGCUUUUCGUGGAGGUCUUUGCCUCUGACUAUGCCUGGAGCCAAGUUCUGAGCAUGCGUUCAUGGUUCCUGAAUUGAGGAGGGGGCAAAAACAAGGCAGCAGCCUGCCUUCUAAGACCCAAGUUCUGAUACCGAAGCCCAGCAUCAAGGACUGCAGAGGAUAUCACACGUCCGUGCGCUAGCGCAUGUUUUCCAGAGACCUUGGCCCCAGAAGUCAGCUUGGCUCCUUGUGCUGGUGUUCAAUAGAUGCUUUCCGCUUCCUUUCUUCUGCCUGGGACAAUGGAUGUGCUGGGAUGGAACUGCAGCAAGCCCGGAGCUCACAGCAGCAGCCAGGACAUGGACUGGCCUGGAGCCUCCAGGAAAGAGAUUCUCCACGUCUCCCCACAGCAGCUGCUGGCUGAAAGCUUCGUCCCAUUCCCCGGUACAUGUCCCUGUCCCACGAGCCUGAGGACCCCCCCUAUGUGCCCCGUUGUCAGGAAGUGCUGCUCUGUUUGGGGCUACCUUGGAGCUGCUGGCACAACAAAGCUGUUUUGCUUUUGGCUGAGCACUCGGCAUCCGAGCUCUCAUGUGGUUGGAGCCCAUUUUUUUUUGCAAGAAUGAAAACAGUGGAUUAAUGAGCUGCUUGUGGCUAAUGUGCAGGGUUUCUCAGAACUGGUGCUAUUAGAGCCCAGCGUCAUGUAGGAGGUAAAUGGCAGCACAUGGUGAAUAAAGCAGUGAUAUAAUAGGUUUAAGUAGUCCAUUUCCCUUUGGAGUGUUACUGAUAACAUGCCCAAAUGCAUACAAGACCAUUACCUUAAUGAAUAAGACCGCUCUCUGGCAGAGCACAUACUGCAGCUCCUCACAAGGGGUUUAUUUUUCAUCAUUUUCAUCCAAAAAAAGCCUUGGGUGUUUGAGUUGGAGUGGGGUGUAGGGAGGGUAGAACAGAGACAGAGGGGAAGAGGAGAGCAGAAGAGAAGAAAUAUGGAUGAGAGAAGAAGGGAGAGAGAAGAAGGGAAAGAGAAGAAGGGGCAUAAAUAAAUGCACAGCAAGCACGUUAUGAUGGGACCAGCAUGGCCUCCAGGAAGCGCAGUAAGAGGAACUCGUACAGUCACGCAUGAAGAACAAUGAUCAGACAUUUGAUUUUGUAUAUUGAAAGAGACACAGCUUUGGAAGCAUCAUUGUCCACCGCCAGAAGUGAAGUGCUAUGAAACAUGCAGACAUCAACGGGCCGGUGCUCACUGUUCCCUCUCUUAGAUAUACGAUGACCGUGCGUUGCCUCUGGUCGUUCCAGCCAGUUCAGAAUUAGUAUCAGUGUGUGCUAAUUCUACCCACGCCAGGGGAGUUGCUCAGCCUCUGUGAUUAGCAUUGUAAAAUCCUGGUGCUCACUAAUGGACAGCAAGUUCUGGGCUAGUUAAGCAGCUCUCUGCUAGCUGGAGAUGCUCCACGCUGACACCACGGCAUUGGAGAGCAGAAUUUACCUCUACACCUUUCCUCAUCCAGUUUACUUUUCUCCUGGGAAGGGUGUGUAGAGCAGCAUUGCCUGGAAAUAUCUGUUGAAAGCACAAUGGCCACGUUUUCUGAAUUUGCUUCUAAUCAGUGCAGUGGGAUCUGAAUUAUACUGUCCUAUUACACAGUAACAUGUACUCUUGUGCCAACUAAAGCCUUGUUUUCUCCACCUUUUUCUGGAAUUUCUCUGCAAAAGAGACACUGGCUUCAAAUCUAGUGUCAAAUGACCCUGAAUUAACUGGAAUUCACCGCACGAGGUGGGUUUCACAGAGGUGUUAAUUCUGUAAGAGUGCACAGUGACAGCACCUAAUCCGUAGCAGAAUAAACACGAGGAGAACCAUGAAGGACCCCUGUUCCUAAAUGACUGAUUAUGAAGAUCCCCCUGAAAGCCUAAAACAUUUCUCAGCACGUUUAGCAAGACGAACAUGGUCUGGCUGACCCGCAGCAGAGGCACCCCCGUCCCGGUGCACCAGUUCCAGCAGUGGCUGCAGGACGAUGCUCAGGACCAUGCGCGAGGAUGGGGCAUGUAAAGAAAAAGGCUUCUCCUAGCUGUAGUCUUGUAGCUUCCAGCAAUCUGCAAGGACUGCCUGGAUGUUGCAUCCAGACUAUUAAGUUUAAUCGCCACUGAUAGACCAAACCUCCAUAAACUUGUCUAAAACCUUUUGAACCUAUUUAUACUUUCAGUCUACACAAUAUCCUGUGGCAAAUGAGCUUCAAAAUUUAAUUACGUGCUGUGUGAAAAAGCACUUCUUUUUGUUUGUUUUAAACUUGCUGCCUGGUAAUUUCACUGGGGCACCAAUGUCUUGUAUGUCGAGAAACAGCAUCUAAAAUAUCCAAGAGACACAGAAUCCCAGAUUUUAUUGAAAGGCCAUGUGAUUUUGACUUCUAACUGUUAAAACCACUUCUGAAAAUGGAACACAGGUCCUACUUUUAAUGCUUAUGAAAAUAUUGCCUCCAGUGCUUAUGUUUGCUCUUCAGGCUGUUUUUACUUUUUUUUUUCUUUUUUUCUUUUAACCUCUGCUUACAAGCUCUUCUAGCCCCUGACAGAUCAUGUUCUCAAGCUUCUUGUUUACUCAGUUAGCACGGGCUUUAUUUUUACAAUAUUAUCCUUGUAACUGCUUCGGCAGCCGAGAGCCCGUUGCUCGAGACAUGAACACAAACUCAGCCAAGGACAGGCAAGUUUGCCUGAAUGACCUCUUUCUCCUCAUUAUAUUUGCCAUGGUCUCAAUGUCACAAGUUCAAGUACAUGCGCAUGGGGUUUAAUACAACGCAGAGAUAAAGGCAGAGGGAUGGAGACUUCCACUGUGGCACGAACGUACUCCGCUACUGCUUGAUUGUGCCUUUUGCAGACACCUCAUUAAAAGUGUGUUCAUUUCACAUAAACAUACCUUUGUACUUUCACGAGCAUGCAUGCUCACAAACAUAAUUUGAACACGGUGGGGGACAGCUCACCCUGACACAAGUAUGUCUGAUUCCUUACGCACGCUUGCACGGAGACCUUGACUAUUUCAAGCAGUUGUUCAUUCGUAGCCUUUCAUCUCUACAUGGAAUCGUAUUUUCCUCUUUCUGUUAUUGACUUCCACUAUCUCAUAUGCUGUUUUGAACAUGCCUCCUCUUGCUUAAGCCUUUGAGUUUAGUCCAAAUAACAUUUCUUCUGCCUGAUACACCUCCUGUAUCAAAUGUUGGUAUCAACGGUUAUGCUGUGGCUUAAAAGUGAGUUCAGAGUCAGAGGAACCAGACCUUUUGAAUCUUUCUCUUCCCAUCAUGUAAAUGUGGUUUGCUACAUGAAGCCAUUCGUAUCUUAUACUCUUGCAGGCACAAGUUCUAGUCUGGAAGAUGAGAUAAAAGAUACUGGGCAGGCAUCUCCUGAAAGUGUCUUGAUCCGGAGAGUUAGCGAGGAUGCAUUGCCUUCCUGGGAAAAAGGAGAGAGAUUUUGCAUGUUUGAGACGUUUCCCUGAGUGUUUAUGUCCUUCAGCAACGCAAACCAUUGUGUCAGCAGGGAUAAAUCAGUGUUGCUCUACAAAAAUCAAUUGAAUGAAGCUGGCUUUCUGCUGCCAAGGAUCAGGUAUAUGCAGGAUUUGAAUGCAAGGUCUCCUGGCACAGCGUUAACAGCCUCUGGAGUCUUGUUGCUGCUAAUGCUUACCCCAUGGCUAACAAAACUGGAGCAGCAUUAAGAGCCUUGGGAAGUUCCCAUUCGAGCACACGGUGCAGAAACGCACACCCCUCCCAUCUUCUGCCAUCGCGGUGAGAGGGAGAAGAGGAAAGACAGCCGGCUGUAAGACCGCCCAGUGUAUUUGGAAGACUGGUAAUACGGGAAGUGCUAUUUGCCAAGUCAACUGUGUUUGUUAGUCCAGAGACUUUAAUUCCACUGCCAAGAGCUGCCACUCUGUGUACAUGUGUACAGCACGUGCUAGGCGUGUGAGACAACACGGAUACAACCACUGCGGCUCCAAGGAAGGGGAGAAGGAACAGGGAAGAUGGCAGAAGUCCCUGCCAGAGGUGUCAGGGCAUGCUGGUGGUCACUGCCUGUGCCCCUGCAGGUGCAUGCACAGGAAGCGACCUUGAGAUGGCCGCGUGCUCAGGGUGAGCAUGCAGAUAGAGUGAAAUACGAGUGUGAGCGUGUGUGCACGUGCAUGGGGGUGUCUCCGUCUGUGUGCAAACAAGCAGGUGUGUUUACAAACAAGUGAGCGAAUGUAAGUCUGCAGAAGUGCAUGCACAGAUGGAGACACCUGCAACCAGCGCAGGGUGUGUGCGUGGGGAUGUGUGUCUGUAGGGCAGGUGCAAAGAGCGGCUGUGUGUGUGGAAGCAGCGCGCUGGGGAAGGGAGAUGGGACGAGGCUACGUGGGAGCUCAGUGCCAGCUUGCACGGGCAGCUCGCAUCUGCGUGUCCAGUGGUGGAAAGCUGGGCGUUUCAUCUCUGUCCAUAAAGGUCUUUGAGAUAGGAAGGGGAGUCUUUAAACGCACCGAGGGAAAAGGGUGUCAAAUGUGUGCUGGAGCUCCUCUGCAGGAAGAGGAAAAUCCAUGGGGAUGGAGAAUGCGUCUCCAUUAGCACGUAGCAGUUGUUUUGUUUGUAGCACGGCUUCGGUUUGACGGGGCGUGUGGAGCGCUGUGCACGAGAGAUGUGUGCGUGGGCUGGGGUAGGUGCGCGGCAGCUCGCUGUGUGCACAGUGGAGGGGGGUGCAGGAGAGGACAGCGGGGAGGGCUGAGCCCAGGCGGUGUUGAGGCUCGGGGAUUCAAGCAGGGCUCUGUCAGAGCCGACCCGCUUUGGAGCAUCCCCAAAUUCAGUGCGGGCGCUUGUCUAUUUUGGGUGUUUCUCCGCACGCCUUCGCUUCCCAGCCCGCUGCCCUGGGCCCUCCGAACCGCGGCGUGCCGAGGAGCUCAGGCAGGAGAAGGAGCGGUUCCCUUGGAAACCUCUGGAUGCCCAGCAACAAGUCGCUGCCAGCAGCCAUGUGACAAGGUGCAUUAAUCAGGCAUCUCGUACGAAUCAGGUUCAUCCCAGACUUCCUCCACGAGAAAAAUCUGUCCGAUCUCCUCUCCCACUGGAACGAACCUAGAAUGCAAAUGAGUGAGCCAGAGGAGCCUCGGGAGGUGGAAAAGCCCAGGGAGAAAGAAUCUGUCAUGGAUGCGAUCUCAAAACAAACACGUCUCAUAGAAGGAUCAAAACCUGUCUCUUUUCUGAGGGAUCCUUACACACAGAGAUCUUUGAAGAACAAAGAAUUUAGGCACAGUUCUCACGACUUGCUGACGAAGGUGUAUUUGGCAAGAGAGGUAUCUGCAGCUUUACAUAACCUGAUAAAGUGCAACACAGGUACCAACACAAGCCCAAAGCUGAGAGCAGACAGCAGAACACAGGGGCAGACUGUGCUGGAUGGGAAACAAAUACCAGUUGGGUGAUGACUACACGUAAAAACCUCAGGUGAGUGCCUGAGUCUCACUGCAAGGGAAACUAUGCUGAAGACAGAAAUCAACUGACAUGUUCAGUCUGGAGGAAUCCCUCGGGGUACCAGCAGAAUGCAUUAACAGUGCAUUUCUCCAGUGAGAUAUGAUGGGAAGAGCACAGAGCAAAAAAGAAGAGAGAAAAUGAAGAAACAAUCUCUCGAAGGAUACAGCCUGACAGUAAUACCGCCAUCUGACUAAAAAGAACUCAGACAUACGCAUAAUCCUCAGGAAAAUUCAUCUCCACCCUCCCAGCAGACCCUGGUGAGAGCCCUUGAAGUGGUAAUUAAAGUCUAUUGAGUGGCAACUGCACCUGUUUAGAAAGGAGUGUGGGUAAGAGGUGCACAAAGGGAGAUGAGCAGCAGAGAGGGAGCGUGAGCGAGGAGCUGCUGGAGGUGGGGAAGAAGGGAAGCGUAAAGAAGAAAAGAUAUAUUUGUUGGAGAAGCCAAUCCAAUAAGAUGUAUAUUUCACAUUCUUCCCUUCAUUUGCUUUCUGCCUGCUCUUCUGCACCCCUUCACACAUGCAGCUGGCUUCUACCCCACUCUCACACCCACUGAUGGAAACUCCAGGGGGCUUUCCCUGGCUAGCCCGGGCCCUGGACCAGCAGCUGCUCAUCUGGUGUAAAUCAACAGAGUUCCACUGAAGUCCUGGUGGAGUUACAAUCAGCUAGCGCUCAUUUACGCCAGCUGAAGAUCUGUCCCAGUGACACUCAUUAACAGUCACUGGGCUCCUCAGACUGGCAGCUGGGACAUGCCAGUUCUUGUCUGCUGGGUUGUCUUUUUCCCUAGAAUAGAGCACAUCCCUUUGUGUGGGCUUUGUCACCCCGGUGUAAAUCCUACAGCAUCUGGGAUGAAUAAAUCAGAGAUGUUUCUGGAUUUCAGCAGACAUGUCUGAGAGCAGAGUCUAGGCAGAAACUGAGUGAAAGGGAGGAAUCUAGAGCAGUGCCUAUCAAUAAGACUGCUAGUUUUGCAUACACACGUGGCUCCAACAGCUUUGAACCAGUGUUAUUCUCAGAUAGAUGUUCCUAGGUACUAUGUGUGAGACAGUGCAAAAUGGGCUUUCUCAUGAAUACUGACAGUAACUGUGGAUUUUGACGUAGCCUUGCAGACUACCCCUGACCCGAGGACCACAGCUGGGGAACCACUGGUGUGUCCAGUGAAUUGUCACUUGGUGGGGAGACUUGGAGGCCAAAAUCUGUGAUAUGGUGGAAGUGGCAGCUCUGCCAGCUUCAAUAGACCAGUGCUGACUUGUGUCACCAGGUAAUUGCAUACUGGUUAGCUAAUGGCACAAACCAGCAGAUUAAGUGGUGAAAAAAUGGGGAAAAGAAAGACAAAAAAGUGGCAGGGGGAAAUCCUCCAAUGUUUGAGAAGGAGAGCAUGAAAAAGGGGACAUUCUUUGGUACGGACAUCUGGACUGCCCUAGUGACCAAGGAGCCAAAGAGCAGCACUGCAGAGUGAUACAGACGCUUGGCCCAAGGAAUUUGUCAUCCUGAGACCUGUGGAUUGAGAGCAGAAAUCCCAAUUCUUUCUGCCAUAAUCUCAACUUCAUCUUUGAUGCCAGUAAUCUUGGCAUUUCAGAUGAGGCUAUAAAGACUUAGUGCAUCACCUUUGCCUAAUUAGUCAAAGGCUCUAACAAUAGUGUUUUGUAGUAGCAUGCAAUCAUCCCUUACACUCUACCUAUGCCUACUCAUUUAACUCCCUUUAUCCAACCCCAAAAUGUCUUUCUUUGUGUGUUACUAUGCAUUUGCAAAGAGCCUACAGUAAUGUAAGCCCUCCCUUGUCACUGCAAUUCUAUAUGUGCCCCAGCAAUCAACUGAACAAAACUAGGUUUCCUGGGUUGAGAACAGAAGAGGAAAGAGGUUUAUCCUCAGAGCAGCCUGAGGUUGAGCUGCGCAAAUGAUUCAGGCAGAAUAAUUUGACUGGUGUUUGCAAAAUUUUCUCUCUCGCUGGACAUGAUGGCAAGCAGUCCCCUGUGAAUCCCUGACCUUCAUACUCUGCAGGCUGCCUGGGAUGGCUGAAAUAAACCACGGGACUUUGUCUUGAUCCCCGAUUGUCAGAGUACACAUCAAUUCUGGUGCAAAGUUGUUGCAUCUGCUUUCUACAAAUACUAGCAACGUCUCUGUAGCAUGCAGUCCUGAUAGCCGUACCGGGAAAUGCAUCCUUGUGAAUGAAGACAGAAAGGAAUAUGCAUUCAGCAAAAGCCAAUUCCUCUGGCUGUUAACGGUAGGAUUUGCAAUUUGUUGGCGAGAUGAUCCAACCUGCUCACAGAAAUUCAGCUACAGUUAACAGAGACAGAUAGAUAUGUCUGAACAACAAGUCACCCUACCAGUCAAGCCCUGUCUUAGGGUGAGAUUAAUUUUUGUACUGAUUACAGGGUGCCUACAUGACUCACUUUAACACAAAAUGCCUAACUGCUAUCAGGCUAGAGUUACAUGAGAGGAAUCAUACCUAAAAUACCUCACUUGCAUGUCUCCUAAACUCUAGUCUUGUCUGUUAACAAAAUCAUUGGGUACAUUAUUAUGAGAUACAUUGUCUCAUUUCUAUAUUUUUCUCCCAAAUACUUCUCUCUUUUUUUUCCUUUCAGCCCUCCUGUUCCUCAGCCUUUUUCUUUUUUUCCACCUUCCCUCUGAUUUCCGAGUAGCUUCUUGACUUUUCCAUCAAUAAGUCUAAACAGCAUUUGAACCAUUCUGUUCCCCCCUUCUCUCCUCCCUCCAGUUCCAAGUCAGGCAAGCGCAUCGAUCAGAGGAGCUCAAGAAAUAUCUGGUGUUUUGUUGUCAGGAUGAUAAUAACAUUGCAGUUGUGAAUGGGCUGCUGCAGGCCUGAUCACGGACACCUGCAGGGUUUGUUUAAUUGCAUUUAAUGACAAAUCCUAUACAGAGGAGCAUUGCCAGAGAGAUUUAUUAUCCACCAAAGAGGCAAAGCACAACAGCUCAAAAUAUAAUUUGCACUGAGCAUUUUUUCCCCUGCCUCUCUUUAAACCAUUGUAAUAAAUAACAAAUCGGGUAAAGUGGGCAACACUAGCCUGAGACAGAGGUGGGGGACAGAGGACAGAGAUUGAAACCAAAGGAAAUAACAGCAAUAAGGCCACACUGUUCUUUCUACCAUCCCUGUGGUCUGGUGUAUAGGAAAUACUGUUUGUUUAAUUUACAGCCUAGAAGUGCAGCUGGGGAUCUCUCUGUGAUGAGCCAGCCUCUUCUCAGAUAGCUGGAGGCUAAGCUCUUGAGUCCCUAUUCUUUCUAACCAGGCUUUUUUUCACCGUGUUCUGUAGCUAAGUUUAGAUCUUAUCUGUAAAAUCAAUUACAAAGAAACUACAGUGGCUUCUGAGCACUAUGGGUGUCACCUGCCACAAUUACAAGGAGGCAUGAGCUUCCACACUGUUGAAAUCUCUGGGACAAACUGCGAGUGGCAGAUCCCAUCCUGAAAAAUAUCACUUUGAGAAAUAUGGCCCUACACAGACAGAUCACUCUACCUGAAGUCUAGACGAAAGUCUCAUGCACCUCUGAGGCUGGAUGGAAUUUAUGUUUCCUACUAAAUGCCAUGCUCCUGGAAGCGAAAUCAUAUGUGUAUAAACAGCAGAGGACCUCAUUCCCUUGCUCAAGCCAUAAACAGUCACUUCUCUCUUGAUUAUUAUGUGCUUGUCUAGUGACAACUUGUGGCAAAUCCCUUCCCCAGUGUGGUAUAUCACUGUGCUAGGCAGAGUGCAGUUCCAGAACAACUGUGAGUGUUGUCACCUGAGAUGGGGCAGUUGGACCAGAUGAUCUUUGAAGGUGCCUUCACUAUUCUAUUCUAUUCUAUUCUAUUCUAUUCUAUUCUAUUCUAUUCUAUUCUAUUCUAUUCUAUUCUAUUCAUUAUAGUCCAAGUUAGCACUUCCCAAACCAUUUUCUCUCUCAAGUUCAUAAGUCAUCUUUGUUAUUCACCCUCUCAUCUAAUUACCCUUGGCAGAAUACUGAAUUGUCCUGGCCAGCUUAUUUCUAAAAAUUGUCCCUCCUCCCCCCUCGCCCUCUCCCCAGGCAUUUUCAUCAGUACACUUUGUGGUAUGGCAGAGGAUAUGCUACAGUUUAGAGGAAAUGCCUUAAUUUCGGAAAUCCAAGCACACGCCAGGAACAGGCAUGCAUCAAAGUAAAGUUGUAUUCAGUGUGAGCAAGGGGUGCAUGCUCUCUAGUGUUCUACUUUACGUUCAGAUUAAAUUUUGCACUUUAAAUGGUGCACACCGGGAAGUCUGGGGAUGAUGGUGAGCUUGUACCAGAAAAUAUCACCCAGGACUGUCCCUUCUGCAGUGUUUGGUCUCUAUUUUAAUGUAGGCUACAAUCGGCAGUUGGCAAUGUCAUUACACAAACACGGUGUAGGGUAACACCUGGACUGCAGUUUUAUCUGAUUUCCUGGACAAUGGCAGUAUCGCUAAUACCCCCUGUUAAAUAAGACCACCUGGACAUCUCCUGGUAUCAGCUCCGGCUAUCACAAACACACUUGCUACCUAGGCUAGCACAAAGGAUUGUUAUCUCUUGAGCAGCGCAAAUCCCCAGAUUGAAACAACCCAUCUGGAGUUUGAUUAAAGUGUCCAUAGAAAGCACAUAUGUUUAAAAAAAGAGAGAGGGGGGAGAGGGAGGGAGAGGUUGG